AAUGGGCACAGAAUAUGUCAACACGAUAGGUUAUAAACCUCAAGUCGUGUGCUAGUGAAGAACUUCAGGUUUUAUUCUUGAUUAGUUCUUGAGACUUUCAAGACCUUUAAGACUCCCACUGUCCUCUUGACCUAUAAGACUCCCUUGUCAAAUAUCCAAGAGAUAGUGUGGAUUCUAAUCAAGACAAACACUUCACACAAUUGGCCUAAGUUGGUCUUUGUUUUAUCCAAAACAUCACAACUUACCAAUUUCAAAUGUACAAGAGUAGAAAACUUUUACUCUUACAUUUGACAAGUGUUUUAAACCUUCUUUAAGACAUGUCACUCAAGUUACAAUCUUGGAGUAUGACUCUAAGACUUGUAUUGGAACGAAGUAUGACUCAUCUUCUUGAUUUAACCAUUUCAACAAUUCAAGAUCCCUCUUCUUAGUCAUAAGAAUGCACUAAGAUUUCCUUAGAGAACUAAUUGUGCUAUGGUUUCUUAAUCAUUAAGAUGAUCACCAAAACUGAUACUAAAGUACUCUCCCAUCUUUUCAGAUUUGAGAAACUUUUAUCCUUCUGCCUAAUUUGAUUCUUCUUAUUCGCUCUGCCAUACAUUGGAACCUUUUCCAAUGUCUCAGAGUUACACUUAAGCUUGUAAGUAUAAUCAUAUUUACUGAGCUUUUGUAAACUAUGACGAAUAGUUUUAUCAAUCUUUUGUGGUGGACUUGACCAGUGCACAAGAAUGUGUACUCGAUCCCUUAGUCCUUCACUUGACUCACACAUCCAUGUGAACAAGUAAUUAGUCUUAAUUUUCCAAUACUUGAAAGUUCUCAUUCAUCAUGCUAUACAACUUGCAUGAUUCCAAGUUCCGGUCCAAAUGAAACUUGGGUGAUGAGAAUUUUUCCUUAUUUGGUAAAUUUAGACAUUACCACAAAUGAAAGAAUCAAUUUCAUAUUUCCACUCUUGUUAUUAAUGGAAUCU
rnacentral:lncRNA from 1 species